CCCCUCUCAGGGUCGUACCUGGAGAGUUUCCAGUCCUCCACCAGCCUCGGCUACGGGAGGGAGAGUCAAGCAGAGGCCUACUCGUUCCAUUCCUAGCUUGGCCAGUCGCUAGCGGGUGGGAGACAAUCUGCUACACGU
rnacentral:snoRNA from 2 species